AUGAACGCUGGCGGCGUGCCUAAUCCCUGCCAGUCGAGCGAACGGACGAGAAGCUUGCUUCUCUGAUGUUAGCGGCGGACGGGUGAGUAACACGUGGAUAACCUACCUAUAAGACUGGGAUAACUUCGGGAAACCGGAGCUAAUACCGGAUAAUAUUUUGAACCGCAUGGUUCAAAAGUGAAAGACGGUCUUGCUGUCACUUAUAGGUGGAUCCGCGCUGCAUUAGCUAGUUGGUAAGGUAACGGCUUACCAAGGCAACGAUGCAUAGCCGACCUGAGAGGGUGAUCGGCCACACUGGAACUGAGACACGGUCCAGACUCCUACGGGAGGCAGCAGUAGGGAAUCUUCCGCAAUGGGCGAAAGCCUGACGGAGCAACGCCGCGUGAGUGAUGAAGGUCUUCGGAUCGUAAAACUCUGUUAUUAGGGAAGAACAUAUGUGUAAGUAACUGUGCACAUCUUGACGGUACCUAAUCAGAAAGCCACGGCUAACUACGUG
rnacentral:rRNA from 1 species